AUUGAACGCUGGCGGCAUGCCUUACACAUGCAAGUCGAACGGUAACAGGUCUUCGGAUGCUGACGAGUGGCGAACGGGUGAGUAAUACAUCGGAACGUGCCUAGUAGUGGGGGAUAACUACUCGAAAGAGUGGCUAAUACCGCCUGAGAUCUACGGAUGAAAGCAGGGGAUCGCAAGACCUUGUGCUACUAGAGCGGCCGAUGGCAGAUUAGGUAGUUGGUGGGAUAAAAGCUUACCAAGCCGACGAUCUGUAGCUGGUCUGAGAGGGCGAUCAGCCACACUGGGACUGAGACACGGCCCAGACUCCUACGGGAGGCAGCAGUGGGGAAUUUUGUACAAUGGGCGAAAGCCUGAUCCAGCAAUGCCGCGUGCAGGAUGAAGGCCUUCGGGUUGUAAACUGCUUUUGUACGGAACGAAAAGCCCCGGGUUAAUACCCUGGGGUCAUGACGGUACCGUAAGAAUAAGCACCGGCUAACUACGUGCCAGCAGCCGCGGUAA
rnacentral:rRNA from 1 species